GACGAAGGGGGCUAGCGUUGUUCGGAUUUACUGGGCGUAAAGCGCACGUAGGCGGGUUGUUAAGUCAGGGGUGAAAUCCUGGAGCUCAACUCCAGAACUGCCUUUGAUACUGGCAACCUAGAGGCUGGAAGAGGUUAGUGGAAUUCCCAGUGUAGAGGUGAAAUUCGUAGAUAUUGGGAAGAACACCAGUGGCGAAGGCGGCUAACUGGUCCAGAUCUGACGCUGAGGUGCGAAAGCGUGGGGAGCAAACAGG
rnacentral:rRNA from 1 species